CUGGGUAUAGCUUAGUGGUAGAGUGUGCUUAGCAUGCACAAGGUCCUGGGUUCAAUCCUCAGUUCCUAAA
rnacentral:tRNA from 1 species